GAUGAACGCUGGCGGCGUGCCUAAUACAUGCAAGUCGAGCGAACAGACGAGGAGCUUGCUCCUCUGACGUUAGCCGCGCGCGGGUGAGUAACACGUGGAUACCCUACCUAUCAGACUGGUAUAACUUCGGAAAACCGGAUCUAAUACCGGAUAAUAUAUUGAACCGUAGGGGGCGAUGGUGAAUGACGGUUUUGGUGUCACUUCUAGAUGGAUCCGCGCCGGAUGAGCUAGUUGGUAAGUUAACGGCUUACCAAGGCUACGAUGCGUAGCCGAACUGAGAGGGUGGUCGGCGACACUGGAACUGAGACACGGUCCAGACUACUACGGGAGGCAGCAGUAGGGAAUCUUCCGCAAUGGGCGAAAGCAUGACGGAGCAAGGCCGCGUGAGUGAUGAAGGUCUUCGGAUCGUAAAACUCUGUUACUAGGGAAGAACAAAUGUGUAAGUAACUAUGCAGGUCUUGACGGUACCUAAUAAGAAAGCACCGGCUAACUACGUG
rnacentral:rRNA from 1 species